UUUUAAUGAGCAGGGAUGUUUUUAAUCUGUUUACAUGGAGCGUGUGCUGUACACGCCAACGACCUGUUGCUAUGGAAACUAUACCGUAUUCGAACGAGCGCAUUAAUAUAAAACCCGCGAGGGAAAAUUAAUCGACAAAUUCAGAAUCCAGAAUUUUUACAAUGGUAUAAUAAUAGAUCACGUACAUCGCCUUCAGGACAGGGAGGAGGUGCGUACGUUUUUAAAUCCGAUCAUGAUGUUUUUUUCACUGUUAAUAUCAGGCAUGAGGAAAGCGUUCAGGAAUAUUACCAGCGCGUUGAAAGGGAAGGGGAGGGUGGGGGGUGUAAACUUUUGUAUUUAUGUGGACUCGCCUCCGGAAGCACGUUCAACACGACCUCCUUCCCGAUCGAUUGCCUGCCGAACCCGAAAGAGUUUAACGUUUUAAUCAAAAUCUGCAGAGUGAUUGCAGGAAAUGAGAUCAACACGGUUGUAAUGGAUUACUGGAAAGACUAAUAGCCGUCACGUACGUAUUUAUUUAUUUAUUUAUUUAUUUAUUUAUUUAUUUUAACAAAUUAUCCCCUGGGAAUGAAUUUCUUCCGAUUCCGCUCAGCACUCCAUCUCUCAUAUCUGUCUAGCAGCACUGUUCCGAGAAGAAUUUAUUUAUCUAUCUAUUUAUUUAUUUAUUUAUUUAUUUAUUUAUUUAUUUAUUUUUCUUUGGAGUCGUGGAACCCAUUAAAGCAGGAAGCAGCAGGAGUGCUUCAGAGGAUCCGAGGUCUACUCUGAGGGGUCCGGUGAUAUUGGGCUCUUCUGGACUCGCGGGUACGAGGGUGUAAAUAAACGCCGAGAGGAAGUGGAAGCGGCAGAAUUGGCCAGAUUGUGAUACUCCGAGGAGGAUAAUGAGAAGUGAUGGGGAAAGCAGACGGCGCGGAUAAAACGCCUCCAGGCAUGCUGAAUGCUGUUUAAAGGUUCUUCUGGACGAUUCGGUGCAGGACUUCAUUUGGUAAUGGUGGCAUUAAAACUACCAAAGAACCAAUCGGAAUUAGUCUGACCCCUUUCAACCCCAAACACAGGAAGACCUGCUUGUCACUUUCAAUCUCAACAUUAUCGAGAGCAUACUCACCUACUGCAUCUCCACCUGGUAUACCACCUGCCAUGCCCUGCAACGAGUCAUGGACAGGGCCCAGAAAUUCUUCGGGGAAUUCUUUUCCCGAUUCUUGAGGAUAUCUACAGAACCUGCUGUCAUCGCAGAGUAAUGCCCAGCUCCAGAGACCUGACGCACCCCUGCCACCACCUCUUCUCUCUCAUGCCCUCUGGAAGACACUUCAGGUGUCUCGGCCAGACAGAGGAACGGCUUCUACCCAGAACAGUCAGCCUUUUGAAUCAAACAAUGCAGCAAACAAAUGAGUUCCUGUCAGAUGCAUGCAGUAGAAAUGUUACUUUAUUAUGGACACUACUGAUCACAUGGCACUCUAUCCAGACUUUCAGCCCAUCAGCCCAUGUCACAGUGCAAACCAGUGCAACUCUCCACCAUGCACUAGGUACAUCUAGUUAGACAAACUCUACCUCUGAAUAUGUACAUUUACUGUAUAGACUUUUUUAUUUUUAAAAAAAAACAACAAAAAAACCUUGUGUAUCUCUUCAUAUGUACACUGAGCUCAACAGGCACUACCCAUUCAUACUGUACACUAUUGUAUAUUGUCCAUCCAUCCAUCUAUGCAUCUCCUGUACCACUUAUCCUACACAGGGUCACGGGGAGCCUCUCCCAAGGGACUCUGGGAACAAGCCUGAGGACACCCUGAACAGGGUGCCAACCCAUCACAGGGCACACAUACACUACAGACAAUUUGGAAAUGCCAAUCAGCCUACAACACAUGUCUUUGGACUGAGGGAGGAAACCGGAGUACCUGGAUUCGAACCCCCAACCCUGGAGGUGCGAGACAAACAGCCUAACCAUUAAGCCACUAUUGUAUAUUGUAUAUAUUGACAUACCUGUAAGCAUAUAUGUAUCAUAACUUAUAUGUAU